AUGAGGCGGUUUCAGACGUGGAGCUCGCCGGAUCCGAUCGUGGUGAGGGUCGUCGAGGCAGGGAACAAAGCGGAUGCGGUGGGUCUUGGCGGUGGAGAGGUUCCAGAGGCUCCCCGGAGGCUCCAUGGCUUGGCGGCGGCGGCCUUUGGGUUCCUGCCUAGAGAAAAGAGAGAGAGGAGACGAGGACGAAGGUCAGAGAAGGGGAGAAACGAGAAGAAGAGGAUGACAAGGAGAAGAAACGGGCGGCCUGGCCUGGUGGAUGAGGGCGACGCCCUGGUGGUUGAGGUCGCCGGCGGCAACGAGGCUGACGGUGGCCACGAGGGCGCGGUUAAGGAGAAGCUCGGGAAGGCUCCUCUCCUCCUGGAACGAGAGGAGGCAGGGGCUCCAAGAGUGCGAGGCCCUCACUUGGGAGGAGCUGGAGGCAUGGCGAUCGAGCACUGCUCGCAAGGUGGAUCGAGAGGAGGUGGUGGUUGA
rnacentral:rRNA from 1 species